rnacentral:ncRNA from 1 species
UAGUGUUGAUGGAGAAUAGUGAAUCCGGUUGGAAUCCGGAACGGUACCGCCACUGUAUGCGCGGAGGCACCGCACAUGACGAAAGUCGGUCAUUGGGAGUUGAUUCUGAGAAGACUGUGCGGAAUGCUUAUGAAACGCAAGUCAGGAGACCUGCUCAGAUUGU